UACGGAGGGGGCUAGCGUUGUUCGGAAUUACUGGGCGUAAAGCGUACGUAGGCGGCUUUGUAAGUUAGAGGUGAAAGCCCGGGGCUCAACUCCGGAAUUGCCUUUAAGACUGCAUCGCUUGAAUCAUGGAGAGGUGAGUGGAAUUCCGAGUGUAGAGGUGAAAUUCGUAGAUAUUCGGAAGAACACCAGUGGCGAAGGCGACUUACUGGACGACUGUUGACGCUGAGGUGCGAAAGCGUGGGGAGCAAACAGG
rnacentral:rRNA from 1 species